CAGUAGCCGCGGUAAUACGUAGGUGGCGAGCGUUGUCCGGAAUCAUUGGGCGUAAAGGGAGCGCAGGCGGGCAUGUAAGUCUUGCUUAAAAGUUCGGGGCUCAACCCCGUGAUGGGAAAGAAACUACAUGUCUUGAGUACAGGAGAGGAAAGCGGAAUUCCCAGUGUAGCGGUGAAAUGCGUAGAUAUAUGGAGGAACACCAGUGGCGAAGGCGGCUCUCUGGUCUGUAACUGACGCUGAGGCUCGAAAGCGUGGGGAGCAAAUAGGAUUAGAUACCCCUGUAGUCCCUGUCUCUUAUACA
rnacentral:rRNA from 1 species